UGAUGAGAAGAAAAUGAAAUACUGUACGACUGCUCAUUUUGUGAGCACAGUCUGUCUUGUGCACUGAAUGUGUCAGUGGUCCUGGGGGUGGACUUGGCUGUAUAAUUAAAGACAGCAUCAUAAUAUAUGCACAAAGACCCCUGUAAUUCUCUUCUAUAUCCCAUUGUAUUGUGAAUUUCUAAUUCUAUCAUUUCUUUGCUAAGUAUCUUUUCAGGUGCUAAAUGUAUGCUUAGAAUAUGAAAUAAACUGCUGAAUGUUAUGGGUGGGAAAUUACUAGGUCCCAGCUUCAGAAAUGAUGGAGCUCCCUUAUUUUUUUUAUCCAGUAUAAUCUGUUAAAUUUGUGAGAGAACCAAAAGGAUGACCAUUUGGACACCUUUGAAAAUGCUACGACCUUUCAUGAACAUUAAGCCUUUCCUUGUACUGGUAUUGACUGCUUUGUGAAUGAAACAUAGCACAGGUCAGCCAUGUGAAUUGCAUGGAUCUGUAGAAUCCAAGAAAUCUUUAUAUUUCUCAGAAGAUGAGCAGGAUGAACAGAGCUUCUGUGAGCGUUGAGCAUACUCUAUGGAAUACGAAGGUAGAGAGUUCUUUGAAGCUAAGUUUGUAUAAAAACAGUCUCUUUAGAAUUUCAAGCCAUUUUCAUAGACUAGAGGCAGUAAAUAUAUUUUCAUUUCAAUCAUUUGAAUAAAGCAGUUAAUUUUACAAUGAUUCUCUUCAUCAAACUUGUCCAAAAUUCUGACUGAAGAGGUGUGAAAACCUGGACAACACACAUCAAGAAAAAGGCUAGCAGGACUCAAAGUGACUGAAAAUACAAGCCUCCAGAUAAGGUGGUAGAAGCCUGCAAUUGUGUUAUUGACAGUUGCACCUGAGACAUGGACUGUUGUGAAACAGCACAUUUGAGGGUCUGAGGGAGCUCGUCAGCCCUUUCUCCAGCAUCCAUGUCUGGGUGGCAUCUGGCCAUUUACUAGUUGGAAGAGACAGCACUAAGGUAAUGCAUUCACUUCCUGGGUGUAACAAAAACUCUUCAGAGGGUGAAGCUGCUUCAACAUUUCUGAAAGUCCUUUGUCACCUCACUCCUUCCAGUACCCUAAACAAUUGAGAAACUGAGUUGAUAAAAUAUUCCUUUGAGGGAAAUUGAGUUGGAAGUCCUCAUGGAUACAGAUGGCAGCAUCAGAACUGUGAGCUGAUUGGGAAAGUGUGAGAAGAUGCAUCAGAUCUUGCUGUGCUUUCAAACAUGCAUAAAGACAGCUCUAUCUUUGGCAUGGAACAAGCAUGGAGAAACUUUAAUAACAACGCAAGACGUAGUGCUGUAACCUAGGUUCAUAAGUUUCUUUUUCGUUGCCUUCAACAAAACCACCACUUAAAUCAAACUCUUCAUAAGAAAUGCUGAUCUGCAGAAUAUUACCAGAUGGGUCUCCUGCCUUCUGAAGAAAGGGGGAAAUGAGAGAGCCUCAUGUUUAACGGCAUAUGAAAGAAGAAAUACAAUGUGUAAACUUUCCACUGACGGAUAUAAUAGUGUUCUCACUUUUAAAGAAAAACAGUACUUCCUAGCAGGAGGCCUGCAAGAAAUUUAACAAUUACUCAAGAUUUAGUUGUACAGCAUGGCAUUUUCGAACAUGUGCAGAGUCUGUUAUUUUUUGUAAUUAAAUUAAUUUAAAUAAUAAAUAAAGUAAUUAAAA
ensembl:lncRNA